CUCUCUCUCCCCCGUCGUCUGUUUCCCACAACAUGACUUGGGCAUGAGACCCCGUGUCGCGGAGGAGUCGAGCCGCUUGAGUCCAGAGACAACGGCCUCUAAUCCACUGCACCACCUCCUGUUGGAAAUUACCUUUAAGACAAAGAGGCUUUGUGUUGCGACAUGGCAUGCUUACUGUACCCCGUGCCCCUUGGGAUUCUCAGAGCACAACCUUCCAGGCAUGGCUGCACAGGUUACACUGCAGUGGAUAGUGAUGGAUAGUUUCUGCGAGGAUUCAGAAGCUAAACGGAAAGCGCAGAAGAUAAAGACAUAACCUCCUUUUUUGUGUCAAGGCAAAGUCAGGCAGGGUGAUAUUCUGACAUUUCUAAAACAACUUAACAGAAAACAUGUGGGACGUUGCCAAUAACCAGGACAAAAAAAAAAAAAAA